AUUGAACGCUGGCGGCAGGCCUAACACAUGCAAGUCGAGCGGAUGAAGGGAGCUUGCUCCUGGAUUCAGCGGCGGACGGGUGAGUAAUGCCUAGGAAUCUGCCUGGUAGUGGGGGAUAACGUCCGGACACGGGCGCUAAUAUCGCAUACGUCCUGAGGGAGAAAGUGGGGGAUCUUCGGACCUCACGCUAUCAGAUGAGCCUAGGUCGGAUUAGCUAGUUGGUGGGGUAAAGGCCUACCAAGGCGACGAUCCGUAACUGGUCUGAGAGGAUGAUCAGUCACACUGGAACUGAGACACGGUCCAGACUCCUACGGGAGGCAGCAGUAGGGAAUAUUGGACAAUGGGCGAAAGCCUGAUCCAGCCAUGCCGCGUGUGUGAAGAAGGUCUUCGGAUUGUAAAGCACUUUAAGUUGGGAGGAAGGGCAGUAAGUUAAUACCUUGCUGUUUUGACGUUACCAACAGAAUAAGCACCGGCUAACUUCGUG
rnacentral:rRNA from 1 species